CCUGUCCGGGAUGCCUCUGGGAAGCAGCACAGCAAUAAGUGCAUCAUGUGUGCAGAGAAGUUCAAAAGGGAGAAUGAGCGGAAGUUAUCUAAAAACAGACAAGGAAAAGAUAAGGAUGACUGCAGUGAGUUUCGCU